rnacentral:rRNA from 1 species
CUUACAACAUCAACGCCAGGGAAUUAGCAGCCUAGCUUAAAACCCAAAGGACUUGACGGUGUCCCAUCCAACUAGAGGAGCCUGUUCUAUAAUCGAUAAUCCCCGAUUUACCCAACCCUAUUUUGUUACUCAGCCUGUAUACCUCCGUCGUAAGCUUACCAUAUGAAUGUUUACAGUAAGUCUAAUGGUCCAACACCAGUACGUCAGGUCAAGGUGCAGCUUAUAAUAGGGAAAGAAAUGGGCUACAGUUUCUAACCUAGAACACACGAAAUGCUUUAUGAAACACGACCACGAAGGUGGAUUUAGCAGUAAAAAAG